GGCGUGGCUCAGUUGGUAGAGCGUGGCACUUGCAAUGCCAAUGCUGUGGGUUCAAUUCCCAUGGGGGACCA